UGAACAAUAUUUUAACAUUAAAAAGAUCUGUUUUAAUAGAGAUAAAUGUAAAAUCACCCAUCUAAGAAAGAACAUGGAUUAUGUCUAUAAGAUACAGGACUGUAUUCUGCAAUGCAGUAUCCCAGUGAAUGACUUUGCCAUCAUGAGUUUGCAGAGUUAUGAGAGCAAAUACAAUUCUUGGAUAUUUAAUGAGAGGAAUAUCAGGUAGGAGGUAGAAGGGGUUAUUACUACAUUGUUCAACAUUACAAGGACUAUUGCUGUAAUGCUGUUCUCAGUUGAAGUGACCACAUUUGAAAAAGAUUUUGACAAAUUGGAAAGCUACAGGGCAGCUACAGAAUUGAUUCAAGGUCUGGAAAAUCUGGCUUUCAGUCAGAGACUGAAAAAGCUCAAUGUAUGUAGCUUAACUAAGGGAAGCGAAUAACAUGGCGAGCUUGCACUUGGUACCUAUUAGGCCUGUGUGAAGUGGCUAGUUUUUGCUUUGGAUUUGGAUUCGUCUGAUUUGGGGGACAGUGAUUCGAUUUGGUGAUUCGAAUCAUUGUCCUGAAUCAAUUCGGCUCUGCCACGAGCCCCCUGAAGCCCUGAGGCCACAAGAAGAGCACUCCUUGUGCUGACCUGAUUGUGUGUGCACCAUCCUCAUCCUCUCUCAAAGCUUACAGGAUCCCUCAGAGAGAGACAGCUGUGCUCCUCUUGCUAAACAGUUUGGAGCAGCUGUCCCAUCAACUGUUUUCCUGUUGGAUGAGCAGCUCAACUUCCUGGGAGAAUGGAGGAGUCGAUGGUCAGUCAGACAGGUUUUCUGAGAGAGCCAGCUUGGAUUUCUGGGUCUGCCCCAACUUAUUCAGAACAAAGUGACUGGUGCCUAUGAAGAAUUCAACAUGGGAAGAUGACUCAGUGUGAACCCUGACUCAGGGGGAGGCCUGGGAUGGGGUCAUGCUUUAAAUGGCAAUGUUUUCAGAUUUAGUUUUCAUAAGUAAACCUCCCCAAACAGAGAUGUUUCCUACCAGACUGUGGAGCGGAGCACACCACACCACACAGGUAAGGCUAGGCCUGAGGAGGAGUGCAAUCACCAGGGGAGUGCCCUUAACGUCCCUGAGGAGAGGUGGUUCAGCACCAUGAACUGUCCCAGUGAAUGUGGGUAUUGGGAGAGAUGAAGUCCCUUGUGACCAAGUAGCGCCUGUUCCAAACAUGAUUAUAAUACUGCUCCUCCCAUUACCUGUCUUCUCCUCAUCACUAGAAUAAAUUUUAAUUUGAUCUGUGUUGUUGAAAGACAUACUCUGUUCCCACAGAAGGAGAAAGCAUGCUCCAUUCCCUCACCUGCUUGGCGUGUCAGGAUUCUGUAUAUCUGUGUUAUUCCCCAGAAUAAUUGAGUGCACUCCAUCUCAUGGCUACAGAGCAUGAACAGGACUUCUGGGAUACCACAACUUGCAGGAGGCUCAGACUGUCAGGGGGUGAAGGAGGAACCUGCUUGACUCAAGUGCAAAAGGGUGAGGAAUGGGGCAGGGAAGAGGAGAAAGGGCCUAAUGUCAGUGGGAUGGGGGGUGGAGCUUCUGGGAGAGAAAUAGGAACCUGGCAGCAAAGGGGGCUUAGCUUUAGGAGCCAAGAGACAGGUAAAAAGAUGGGAGCUGGUGGGGUGGAAUAGGGAUAAUACAGAGAAAGAGUGUCAAGAGCCAGGAUAAGGCAGAAGUUAGUAGGGUGCAGAGUGACAUGGACAAGAAGAAGGGACAGGAGCAGCAGGAGGGGACUCUGUCCAGACCAGGAAGUAGUAGUAGUAGAAAUGCCAGGAGCUGGAGCAGGCGUGAGCAAUUAUUUGGGUCCAUGGGCCACAUAGGGAGGUUUGGGGAGCUGUUGUGGGCCAGGUCAGCCCCCUACCCCACACAGCAGCUCACCAAACCUCCCUAUGUGGGAUGGGGCCGCAGGCAGGCAGGGGUGGGGGAGCUGGCUGGUAUCAACUUGGUACUAUUUUGCAAAAGUACAAGAGGAUCUUUCCAUUUUCUUUCCCUCCCUGUAUUUACAAUGUAGAAGUCAAAAUAGGACCCUGUCACUAUAUAGGUAGCUCUUUUCAAGAGGCUAACAUCCAGAAGAGGGGGACAGUGUUCAAAAAGCCUUUAAAAUAUUUGUGUUGGUAACUCUUUAUCCAUCUGUAUGAGCUGAGUGGUAUGUGUGUGAAAUUUUGAAUGCUGGAGCAUGCCGGAGGUCUUCUUAAAAUAAACUUGCAGGGAGUUUACCACAAGAAUCCUGUAGUCUCUUUGGAGACACUGAUGAGGUAAAUAUCUCAAUGCAAAUACAAAUAAACAGGUCAGGAAGAAGCUCUUUAAGCAGAAAUGCUAGGGCUAAAAUAGCAAUUAAAAAUAACACGCUGGUCUUUUUUCAGAUACGAAGUCCAUACCAAAUGAUUUUCUUUGGUUAAAACUAUUUCCUCAGCUCCCACUCUGCAGUUUAUCAUUAUUUGUUGUUGUGCUGUGUUUAGAUUUUAAGCUAUUCUGAGGAGGCAGCUACCCAUUUUAUAUUUUUAUAAAGCUCUACGUACAUCCAGGGAAUUGUAUAAACAAUCAUAGUUUAACAGCAUGUCACUUGGUCUAAAAUUUUACCAAAUAGUUAUUUCAGGGAACCAGGGGACCCUAUAAAAUAUAUUUUAUUUGGAAAUCUACCUUUGCAUGAAAAUAAGUGAGAGAAGGCCAAACGGCUCUCAGACAGGGAGUCAACACCUAGCAGGGCUGGUUCCACUUUUGGUUAGUUGCUAUUGUUCUCCAAAGGGGUGCCUUUGGCAGACUCUUGGAUGCAAGCCCAUUAUGAGAUUUUGGUGGGGAGGUAAACACUGAGAGGGGAAAAUACUUUUCCCUUUUUACCUUUCAAAAUAUCAUGAGUGUUGCUUUGUCUCUGGAAUGCAGACAUGCUGUAGUUCAGACAUGUAAUGUUUGGCUUUUCCUGUGACAUUACUUCCCUCUUGGAGUUGAUGCUUCCAGUAAUAAUGCUGGACAGGACAAUGACUUGUGGUACCCAUUUCCCAGGCAGGUAUUUUGGGAGUACCCGUUAGAAGGGAUGCAGUGAUACUUACCCAAAGCAACUAACCACAGGAUCAACAUGAACCAGAAGGGGUUGAUUCCACCCCUUGCUCUGGAGCCAUUAGGUUUUUACAGUGGCAUGUAGGUGCUAUGCAGGAGAAAUGUAAGGUUGACUCCCUUUCUUCUUCCUCUUCUCACAUGGUAAUGUGUGUGUGCUGGGGGUAAGGGAGACAGGCUGGUGCAUAAGUCACUAGGGGAGACAGAGCCCUUAGGAAGCCCUGGAGAGCCUACCAUAAUUUAGAGCAGUUGCAGGUUUCAAUUUGGUACUAUUUUGUCCCUAGAGCAGCCCAAAUUCCAGAGGCGUGAGGUUAACCUAAAGCCACUGAUGGCCUCCUGCCUCUGUGCUGUGAUACAGCCCAGCAUCCAAUGCCAGGCAUUUAGCUGUUGUACUAUGAGGAGUUAAUGACUGCCAUUGAACAGGUGUCUGAUCCAUGGACAAUUGCAGACCCAAAUAAAUCCCAUGUUUGUGCUAAGCACUGUUCUUUUAGGCUUGUUUAUAGAAACAAAGAAGUACCUUUGUGUAGCAAGUUAGAUAAAAACUGUGGAAACCACUGGUCCAAGCAGUGGGCUGCAUAGCACAGUCUGUUAAGAAGGUAAACUGUGUGGGCUGUAGGGUGGCCAUCACAGAAGACAUUCCAGUUUUCUGCUACUCUGUCCUCUGUCCUCUAUUGAUACGAA